AUGUUUUCUCUACAGUCACUGAAUCACAACAUCCUCAUCAUGAAAUGCAGCUGGAUCAUCCUCUUCUUGAUGGCACUAGCUACAGGGAUCUACUCAGAAGUCCAGUUGCAACAGUCUGGGCCUGAGAUUGUGAGGCCUGGGACCUCAGUCAAAUUGUCCUGAAAGGCUUCUGGCUACAGCAUUACAGAAUACUAUAUAGAGUGGGUGAAGCAGAGGCCUGAACAAGGCCUGGAAUGGAUUGGAAUGAUUGAUCCUGAGGAUGGUGAAACUAAAUAUGCUCAGAAGUUCCAAAGCAAGGCCACACUGACUGCAGAUACAUCCUCCAACACAGCCUACAUGGAGCUCAGCAGACUGAUAUCUGAGGACACUGCAAUCUAUUUUUGUGCUAGACACAGUGUUGCAACCACACCCUUAGUAUGGUAGAAAAAGAAGAGGAGCAGGAAGCUUCCAUAGGACUGAAAUAAAAGACAAUAUUACCCUGAAGAUUUGUCCAGAAAUUGUCAUUCUGAGUGUCCAUGUGUCUGCCUCAUCCUCACAGUUAUGGCCUGUCCUGUGACUGAUUAAUGGUCAAUUUGGAGAAGAUACCGUGAGUCUCUGAGAAGAAGGUAUCCAGUGUGAGUGGAAUAUGCAAGAGGUUUGGUACAACCUGGAGGUUCUCUGAGAGUCCCCUGUGCAUCUUCUGGAUUCACCUUCACUGAUUUCCACAUGAAUUAGUUCCCCCAGCCUGAAGGGAAGGCACCUGAGUGGGUGGGUUUAAUUAGAAAGAAAGUUGGUACUUGCAUAAAAGACUACAGUCCAUCUGUGAAGGGUCAGUUCACCAUUUCCAGAGAUAAUUCCCAAAAUAUCUUCUAUCUUCAAAUGAACACCCUGAGACCUGAGGACACUGCCACUUAUUACUGUGCAAGAUAUUUACAGAGUGACAUAACUUCAGUGUGGGUUCAUGCAAAAACCUCCUUUCAGGGGUGCUCAGGACCAACAAGGGGUGCACAUAGCCGUAAAAAAGACAGUGCAUUUCUCCUACAUGAAUUAUUUUUCAUCUGAAAAUGUCACUGGAACUUAUAAUACUUUAUCUACUACAGAAGUCUUUGCAUUGGAAAGUGACAGCUGAACAGAAAUGCUACUCUGUGAGAAACUGUAAUGUGGGUACAAAUUUCUACUUGGAAAGGGAAAUUUUGAAGGGAUGAACACAGAUGUGUUCUCUUUCCUAUUAUAUGUUGUAUUUAGACAUAUUGUUCUGCAACUCCUUGUGUAUUAGUUUAAUGAGUUGAACUUCUACAAUAAAUGGCACCUCCACAUUCCUUUUAAAAGUACAUUACAGUGUUAUUCUACACCAAAAUUUGGGGCUUAGUAAAAUUAUUGGAAAAUGUAUUGUACUAAUGCAAUUUUCAUGCUUGAUAUUUAUUCAUAUGAUAUGAAGGAAUUACUCUAAAUAAAAUGAAAGAUGGAAUUUGUUUAUAAA